GGAUUCCACACAGGAAGGUCACACCAUCCCCCACCAUCAUCAGAGCUGUAAUCUCGGGGACUAUAAUAUUGUAGUUAAAGAAGAGUAUAAAGAGGAGUAUGGAGUGAUGGAGGAGUUUUCAGAAGGACACAAGGAUAUGAUGGAGCCACCUAAUACCAGGAACCCACCAGAGAGAUGUCCCCGUCCUCUGUAUUCCACACAGGAAGGUCCCACCAUCCCUCACUGUUGCAAGAGUGGAGAUCCAAUCGAUAUAGAAUUUGAG